rnacentral:rRNA from 1 species
CCUACGGGAGGCAGCAGUAGGGAAUAUUGGGCAAUGGAGGAAACUCUGACCCAGCCAUGCCGCGUGCAGGAUGACGGCCCUCUGGGUUGUAAACUGCUUUUAUACGGGAAGAAAAAAUGCUACGUGUAGCACAUUGACGGUACCGUAAGAAUAAGGAUCGGCUAACUCCGUGCCAGCAGCCGCGGUAAUACGGAGGAUCCAAGCGUUGUCCGGAUUUAUUGGGUUUAAAGGGUGCGUAGGCGGAUCUUUAAGUCAGUGGUGAAAGCCUGCAGCUCAACUGUAGAACAGCCAUUGAAACUGAAGAUCUUGAAUAUGGUUAAAGUAGGCGGAAUGUAUCAUGUAGCGGUGAAAUGCUUAGAUAUGAUACAGAACACCGAUAGCGAAGGCAGCUUGCUGAACCAUUAUUGACGCUGAGGCACGAAAGCGUGGGGAGCAAACAGGAUUAGAUACCCUGGUAGUCCACGCCCUAAACGUUGAUUACUCGUUGUUGGCGAUAUACUGUACAGCGACUAAGACUAACGUACGUUAAGUAAUACCUACCGUACGGAGACGACCGACGAGUAGUAAACGUAAAGUAAGUAGUACGACGUGAGACGAGACGACGGACGACGACGAGGGAGGAGG